GAAUAUUGGACAAUGGGCGCAAGCCUGAUCCAGCAAUGCCGCGUGAGUGAUGAAGGCCUUAGGGUUGUAAAGCUCUUUCGCCCGCGACGAUGAUGACGGUAGCGGGAGAAGAAGCCCCGGCUAACUCCGUGCCAGCAGCCGCGGUAAUACGGGGGGGGCAAGCGUUGUUCGGAAUUACUGGGCGUAAAGGGCUCGUAGGCGGCCAACUAAGUCGGAUGUGAAAUCCCCAGGCUCAACCUGGGAACUGCAUCCGAUACUGGAUGGCUUGAAUUCGGGAGAGGGAUGCAGAAUUCCAGGUGUAGCGGUGAAAUGCGUAGAUAUCUGGAGGAAUACCGGUGGCGAAGGCGGCAUCCUGGACCGACAUUGACGCUGAGGAGCGAAAGCUAGGGGAGCAAACGGG
rnacentral:rRNA from 1 species